rnacentral:lncRNA from 1 species
AGUUCCGUGCGGGGCCAGCUGGCGGCGGCGCUUCCGGGCCCCCGUGGCCGCCACGGCCUGGCCGGUACGGGGUCCGCCGGCCCAGAACGUGAGCGUGGACGCCAGACAGCCCCCAGCUGCCUCGUCAGGGCUCGAGCAGCCCGUGAACUGGGCCCGGCCACGCUCGCCGCCCUGGAGUUAGAUGGGGCCUCCGAGGGCGUCCACAGCGGACAUUCCCGCGGGGAGCUCUCAUCGGCCCCCGCACCCCGUUCCUAUCUCGCACUUGACCUGGGCCCGACGCCCAGGGCGCCCCCUACAGCUCACACAGGGAUCCAAACGGCCUCCGCCGCCGGGCCACUGCCACUCGCAGUCUAGGAACCCCAGGAAGACACACACUCUGGGGACUUGUCCAAACACACGCACAGCUCAGACUCGUAGCCCUUGAGGCCCCCGCACCCACAAAGAAACUGCAGGCUCCCUUUGCCAACCCCAGGCCUCCCUGGGGCUCUGUCCUCAUCUUCCCAAGAGGGCUGCCACCCCUCUUGGGGGAGCUGCACCUCCUGCCCCCCCUCUUGGGGGAGCUGCACCUCCUGCCCCCUUCCCCUCCCUCUGUUUGCUCCUCCAUCUUUCUCUCGAGUUCCUUUUCCUCUGGUGGCUCUGGGGCUCUCUGUCUAGAGCCUCCUGACCUCAUGGGCGCCUGAGCCCUCCUCCGAAAUUUCCUGUCCACACCUCAAGCACUGACUUUCUCCAGGGCCCUGGAAUCUUUUCCCCCAGCCUUAUGACCACAAGUACACGUCCUCUGGUUCCAGACCAUACCCAAGACCCUGCUCCCUGCCACCCAGUGACAGGGACCCAGCCAGAGAUGGGUAGCACCUCAGACCCUUCCUCCCCACUCCUCCCACGGCCUAUACCUCGUUUUCUUCUCCCCAGCCACAACGGCUUCUCAAUCCCUAUCCUGCUCCCCUUACCCCAUCUCCACAGAGUAGGGGAUGCUCCUAGAAUACAGAUUGCGAUGACUUUGUAUCUCCCCUGCCUAAAACCCUUCCAUUCUCCUCUCUGCAGGCCUGGGAUGACAAUACUUGAGGAAUCCUCGCUGGUGCUGCCCUCCUGCCCUCUGCUUGGAACCCCUCCCCUAAGUGUCAGUGAGUGGACGUAUAUAUUUGGAUCAAUCGAGUUGCACCCUUUGCCUCCCAGAUCAGUUCCUCCGGCCUCCCUGGCUGAGCAGAAGGACAGCUCUGGACACUUGUGUCAGCACCCAGCCCACGUGUCCCUGCCACAGCUUCAUAUAAGGUAUGCCGGCUCAGCCGGGCCUGGUGGCUCACGCCUGUAAUCCUACAACUUUGGGAGGCUGAGGCAGGCAGAUCACCUUGAGGUCAGGAGUUCGAGACCAGCCUGACCAACAUGGAGAAACCCCGUCUCUACUAAAAAUACAAAAUUAGCCGAGUGUGGUGGCACAUGCCUGUAAUCGCAGCUACUCAGGAGGCUGAGGCAGGAGAAUCGCUUUAACCCAGGAGGCAGAGGUUGCAGUAAGCCGAGAUCGCGCCAUUGCACUCCAGCCUGGGCAAUAAGAGCGAAAGUCUAUCUCAAAAAAAAAAAAAAAAAAACACCAUAUGCCAGCUCCGUCUGGCUUUGCAGUCUCAUACCCAGUUACGUAGCCCAUCAGCUGAAAGCCCAAUGUACACCACACCCUGAAUCAGAUGUUCUCCAACACCAUCAGUGUUCCUCAGGACCACCCUGCAGGAUACAUUUAUUUGUAACCAUUCUUUUCUUUUGCUUUUAGAGAUCUUGCUGUUGCCCAGGCUGGAGUGCAAUGGCUAUUCACAGGUGUGAUCAUAGCUCACUGCAGCCUCGAACUCCUGGUUUCAAGCGAUCUUCCUGCCUCAGCUUCCUACUUGGGACUACAGAUUUAUUUCAUCUUUUUUUUUUUUUUUGAGAUGUAUCUCGCUCUGUCUUGCUCAGGCUGGAGUGCAGUGGUGCCAUCUUGGCUCACUGCAGCCUCCGCCUCCCAGGUUCCAGUGAUUCUCCUGUCUCGGC